rnacentral:rRNA from 1 species
AUCUAGAUGUCCUCACCGCGCUUAACUGCGCGAAGAAAAUGGACCGAUCCAAAAAGAUGGACCGAAUGGGGCCCGAAGUUGUGGUUGGUGAUUGGGGUG